GAUGAAGGUAGAAAGGCUCUCAUUUGGGGCUUCACGGUCUCAUUUGGGGUUAUAGCCAGGCUCUCUUCACCUUUUUUUGUGGGGCGUUAACGGUGUUUCUAAUCUUUAGUGUUUCGUUCGCAAUAGAGGGGAGACACCGGUUCUGCAAAGGUUUACUUUGAAUAAAUUAGGGUGUUCAAAGCAAGCGAAAUCGCUUUGAAUAUAUUAGCAUGGGAUAAUGCAAGAGGACCUUGUCCUAUACUUUGUUGGUUUCUAAGGAUGCGGUA
rnacentral:rRNA from 1 species